rnacentral:rRNA from 1 species
GGCGAACGCUGGCGGCGUGCUUAACACAUGCAAGUCGAACGGAAAGGCCCUGCUUUUGUGGGGUGCUCGAGUGGCGAACCGGUGAGUAACACGUGAGUAACCUGCCCUUGACUUUGGGAUAACUUCAGGAAACUGGGGCUAAUACCGGAUAGGAGCUCCUGCUGCAUGGUGGGGGUUGGAAAGUUUCGGCGGUUGGGGAUGGACUCGCGGCUUAUCAGCUUGUUGGUGGGGUAGUGGCUUACCAAGGCUUUGACGGGUAGCCGGCCUGAGAGGGUGACCGGCCACAUUGGGACUGAGAUACGGCCCAGACUCCUACGGGAGGCAGCAGUGGGGAAUAUUGCACAAUGGGCGGAAGCCUGAUGCAGCAACGCCGCGUGCGGGAUGACGGCCUUCGGGUUGUAAACCGCUUUCGCCUGUGACGAAGCGUGAGUGACGGUAAUGGGUAAAGAAGCACCGGCUAACUACGUG